UACGUAGGGUGCGAGCGUUAAUCGGAAUUACUGGGCGUAAAGCGUGCGCAGGCGGUUUGCCAAGUCAGGUGUGAAAUCCCCGGGCUCAACCUGGGAAUUGCGCUUGAAACUAGCGAGCUUGAGUGUGGCAGAGGGGGGUGGAAUUCCACGUGUAGCAGUGAAAUGCGUAGAGAUGUGGAGGAACACCGAUGGCGAAGGCAGCCCCCUGGGUCAACACUGACGCUCAUGCACGAAAGCGUGGGGAGCAAACAGG
rnacentral:rRNA from 1 species